CCAGAAGAGGGGGACGGAUACUGGCUGGACGCAGAAUAUGACGACAUCUUCGCAACAUCAGCACCGAGGACUCGUACUGGGCCGGCUACGGAAGGCGAGUGUGUGAUGGAUGACAUGACAGCCGCGCCGACCAGCACAAAGACCAAGAGGAGCCUGCGGAUCAGAUUCACAACGCCCACAAAACAACAACAACAACAACAAUUGUGAUAAGCUUCAAAAUGUGCA